rnacentral:lncRNA from 1 species
UUUAAUUAGGCCUGGUUCUUAAACAACUUGCCACAACUUAGUCAAUUUCUUCUUGGCUUGUUACUGGGUUUAGCAAUGUCAGAUGUUGGUUCCUAAUUAUUUGAUAUUCAGCCUCCAAGCAAGUGUUCCCUCGUUCUAUCUGUUCUUUCUUUCAUUCUUUCUUUUUUGUAUUUGUUUCUUUUAAGUCUUUUGCGCAUGGUAAAGCUGUUUAUUUC